AAAUAAUGAUGAUAGACCUAUAUGCAUUUGAAGAGUUAAUCAAAACCUGUCGCGUCUUUGGUUUAGGUUUGGUAAAAGUUAAUAAACCAUCCUGAGCCACUUAUAGACAGUUCCUAAAAUGAUGUACCAAAAGUUUUCAAUCUGAUA
ensembl:snoRNA scaRNA:MeU4-A65 small Cajal body-specific RNA : MeU4-A65